UACGUAGGUGGCAAGCGUUAUCCGGAUUUAUUGGGUGUAAAGGGCGUGUAGGGGGGAGCGCAAGUCAGAUGUGAAAACUCAGGGCUCAACCCUGAGCCUGCAUUUGAAACUGUGUUUCUUGAGUGCUGGAGAGGCAAUCGGAAUUCCGUGUGUAGCGGUGAAAUGCGUAGAUAUACGGAGGAACACCAGUGGCGAAGGCGGAUUGCUGGACGGUAACUGACGCUGAGGCGCGAAAGCGUGGGGAGCAAACAGG
rnacentral:rRNA from 1 species